AUUGAACGCUGGCGGCAGGCCUAACACAUGCAAGUCGAGCGAGCGGCGGACGGGUGAGUAAUGUCUGGGAAACUGCCUGAUGGAGGGGGAUAACUACUGGAAACGGUAGCUAAUACCGCAUACCAUCAGAUGUGCCCAGAUGGGGUUAGCUAGUAGGUGGGGUAACGGCUCACAUAGGCGGCGGUACCUAGCUGGUCUGAGAGGAUGACCAGCCACACUGGAACUGAGACACGGUCCAAGCUCCGACGGAAGGCGGCAGUGGGGAAUAUUGCACAAUGGGGAGAAGCCUGAUGCAGCCAUGCCGCGUGUAGGAAGAAGGCCUUCGGGUUGUAAAGCACUUUCAGCGGGGAGGCGUUACCCGCAGAAGAAGCACCGGCUAACUCCGUGCCAGCAGCCGCGGUAAUUC
rnacentral:rRNA from 1 species